rnacentral:rRNA from 1 species
UUUCAACAACGGAUCUCUUGGUUCUGGCAUCGAUGAAGAACGCAGCGAAAUGCGAUAAGUAAUGUGAAUUGCAGAAUUCAGUGAAUCAUCGAAUCUUUGAACGCACAUUGCGCCCUCUGGUAUUCCGGAGGGCAUGCCUGUUCGAGCGUCAUUACACCACUCCAGCCUCGCUGGGUAUUGGGUGC